rnacentral:misc_RNA from 1 species
AAUUCUCAACCUCACCAGUUUUGUAACGAGACAGGUGAAGGCUUGGAUGUGGGGGUUUUGCAGGCUGCCUCAGUGCUGGUCUGCUCUCCUGAAAUGCAUUAGCGAGCUCAUAUUGAGCUUCCGUCUAUUGGUGUGAUAAUUAUCUAUGCCGUGGAUUGGACUCAUGCUUGCUUCUAACCGUCCGCAAGGACAAUUUACUUGACCA